AUGGCGCAACAAGAUCAAGACGUCAUGUACUACAACAAUUACCUCUUCCUCCUGCUGCCCAUGGUCCUGCUCCUCAUCGUCAAGUUCAGGCUGCCGCGCAAGCACGGGGGCAAGAACCUGCCCCCGGGGCCAUGGCGGCUGCCAGUCAUCGGCAGCCUGCACCACCUCGUCGGCGCGCUAGCGCUACCACACCGCGCCCUGCGUGACCUCGCCCGUGCGUACGACGCCCCGCUCAUGCUGCUCCAUCUAGGAGAGCUGGAGGUCACCGUGGCUUCGUCAGCCGGCGCGGCAAGCGAGAUCAUGAAAACCCACGACGCGGCAUUCGCCACACGGCCGCGGACCGCCACCAUGCGCGCGCUCACGAGGGACGGCCUCGGCAUCGCCUUCGCGCCUCACGGUGAGCACUGGCGGCAGGCCCGGAAGCUCAGCACAACCGGGCUGCUCGGCGCGCGGCAGGUCCGGUCCCAACGGGGAGCACGCGAGGUCGAGACAGCCGCCCUGGUGGCCACUGUUGCGUCGUUGUCGUCGGCGUCAGGGCCCAUGAACGUCAGCUUCCUCCUCUCCGCCUACAUCACAGACGUGGUGACGCGCACGGUGCUGGGCCACCGCAUCGGGGCUCUCCGCGACGAGUUCUUGGAGCGCCUCGACGAGGGCGUCAAGCUGGUCGUCGGGUUCAGUCUCGCAGACCUGUUCCCAUCGUCGCGCCUUGCGCGCGCAUUCAGCGGGGCGUUGCGCCGCGCGGAGCUGCUCAGCCGCGAGAUGAGCCAGCUCAUGGACCGCAUCACCGAGGAGCACCGUGCGAGGAGGAUGUCAGCCGGCACCAGGGACGAGGAAGAGGACCUCCUGGACGUGCUACUCCGGAUCCAAGCGGAUGGUGGCAUCGACGGGCCUCUCGACAACAGAACCAUCCGUGCCAUAAUCACCGAUAUGUUUGCGGCAGGGAGUGAGUCCACAUCGACAACGAUAGAAUGGGCGAUGGCGGAGCUCAUGCGAGCCCCCGCUGCGCUCCUGAGGGCACAGUCGGAGGUGCGCGGCACCUUCGCCGGAGAGAGCCGGGUCCGUGAGGAGGCCCUGCCGGAGCUGCACUAUCUACAUCUAGUAAUCAAAGAGACCCUCCGUCUACACCCGGUGGCGCCGCUGCUCCUCCCCCGGGAGUGCCUAGAGCCCCGACGUGUUCUUGGUUACGAUGUGCCCAAGGGCGUCAUGGUGCUCAUUAACGCAUGGGCGAUCGGCCGGGACACGGCGAGCUGGGGCGCCGACGCCGAGGAGUUCAGGCCCGAGAAGUUCGAGGAGGCCGGUGCCGCGGCGCCGGACUUUAGGGGAACCAACUUCGAGUUUGUGCCCUUCGGCGCCGGCCGGAGGAUGUGCCCUGGGAUAACGUUCGGGUUGGCUGUCCUGGAGCUUGCGCUGGCGAGCCUUCUGUUCCAUUUCGACUGGGAGCUCCCUGCCGGCAGCUCGGGCGAGCUGGACAUGGCGGAGGCUGUCGGGGCGGCGGUGAGGAGGAUGAGCGACCUGCGGCUGCAUGCCACCGUUCGUGUGCCCGUGCCUGGUCCUACUCUAUAG
rnacentral:rRNA from 1 species